ACAAUUGGUUCAAAAGCCACCUCAAGCUGUUAUAACACAAUAUGCCAUUUGUGAAUCCGUGACUAUUGAACAAGAUUUGUUGACAAAGGCUUUACUUGUUAGGAUGGUUGACUUGAGCUGUGAAAAGAUGUCUAUAUAUAUUGAAUUUGUUACUGAUAUGCUGUUUUUGAAUUGGUGAAUCCUACAGUUUACAGGUCGUCAAACCCGUACCCAUUUACAACAAGGAAAGACAAACUUCUUUGAAAAAAAAAAUUGGCGAUUACCAAAAAGCUUCAGUGGCUGUUAUUAAAAUUCCUCAACUAUCAACAAUGGACAUAAUUGAUGAAGACUUUUAAAUAAGUAUAUUCUGAUAGGUACCUAUUUCCUAUUAUUUGUGUACUUAUUUUUCCUAUAUUUCAACACACUACACAUCAGAAAGUAUAUAAUAAAAAAGAAAAAGUUUACACACAUAUUUUGCCUGUGUCUCCUUCUAAACAAUUGGAUCACAAGCCACCUUCAACUGUUAUCACAUAUAUGUUUGGUGAAAUCGUAACUAUUGUAAAGAUUUUUUGAUUAAUGCUUAACCUGUCAGAAUGGUUGGCAUGAGCAUGAGCUGUGAAAAGAUAUAUUAUAAUAUUGAAGAUAUUGCUGAUAGGCUGUUAAAAUUAGCGGGGUCCUAUUGUUUACUGGUCGUUAAACCUGUUCCCACACACGGAACUUACUUCUCAACAAGGAACAACAAACUUUGAAAGAAGACUCAGCGAACACCAAUUACCUUAAAUUAUUGCACUCUGAAUCGUAUUUGUCAAUGGCAUAUUAUUUACCAUUAUAAGAAAAUUUUUAUUUUUUAAUUUUAUUAUAAAAAUGUAAUUUAUUUAAAUUCUAAAUAAAUUAUACUAUUAUACUUUUCAUAUUUGUCGUAUUUAUAGUUAAAUUGUAAUGUAAAAUUUAGAAAUAUAUGACUAAUGUGUUGUAAUUUAUUGUUAUACUUGCAGCAGUUAUUUAUACAUACUAAAUAACUAAUUAAGAAGAAAUAAAUUGUAAUAUAAUAUAAGA